rnacentral:rRNA from 1 species
AACGGGAUUUAGUAAACAGAAGCUUCGGUGGAAGAUUACUAAUGAGAGUGGCGAACGGGUGAGUAACGCGUGAGCAACCUGCCUAUGACAGUGGGAUAGCCUCGGGAAACCGGGAUUAAUACCGCAUAAAAUCGUAGAAACACAUGUUUUAACGGUCAAAGAUUUAUCGGUCAUAGAUGGGCUCGCGUCUGAUUAGCUAGUUGGUGAGAUAACAGCCCACCAAGGCGACGAUCAGUAGCCGGUCUGAGAGGAUGAACGGCCACAUUGGAACUGAGACACGGUCCAAACUCCUACGGGAGGCAGCAGUGGGGAAUAUUGCACAAUGGGGGAAACCCUGAUGCAGCGACGCCGCGUGAACGAAGAAGGUAUUCGUAUCGUAAAGUUCUGUCCUAUGGGAAGAUAAUGACAGUACCAUAGAAGAAAGCUCCGGCUAAAAC